rnacentral:rRNA from 1 species
UACGUAGGGUGCGAGCGUUAAUCGGAAUUACUGGGCGUAAAGCGUGCGCAGGCGGCGCGUUAAGACAGGUGUGAAAGCCCCGAGCUUAACUUGGGAAUUGCGCUUGUGACUGGCGUGCUGGAGUGUGGCAGAGGGAGGUGGAAUUCCACGUGUAGCAGUGAAAUGCGUAGAGAUGUGGAGGAACACCGAUGGCGAAGGCAGCUCGCUGGGACGGUACUGACGCUGAGGCGCGAAAGCGUGGGGAGCGAACAGG